rnacentral:rRNA from 1 species
AGUGAACGCUGGCGGUAGGCCUAACACAUGCAAGUCGAACGGCAGCACAGUAAGAGCUUGCUCUUACGGGUUGCGAGUGGCGGACGUGUGAGGAAUACAUCGUAAUCUACUUUUUCGUGGGGGUUAACGUAGGGAAACUUACGCUAAUACCGCAGACGACCUACGGUUGAAAGCGGGGGAUAUUCGCACCUUGCGCGAUUGAAUGAGCCGCUGUCGGAUUAGCUAGUUGGCGGGGUAAAGGCCCACCAAGGCGACGAUCCGUAGCUUGUCUGAGAGGAUGGUCAGCCACACUGGAACUGAGACACGGUCCAGACUCCUACGGGAGGCAGCAGUGGGGAAUAUUGGACAAAGGGCGCAAGCCUGAUCCAGCCAUACCGCGUGGGUGAAGAAGGCCUUCGGGUUGUAAAGCCCUUUUGUUGGGAAAGAAACGCAGCAGGUUAAUACCCCGCUGUUCUGACGGUACCCAAAGAAUAAGCACCGGCUAACUUCGUG